rnacentral:pre_miRNA from 1 species
GCCCAGUCCUGGCGUAUUUUCUGUGUUGUAAGAACGAAACUGCAGUCAAGUCGGUUCGU